rnacentral:sRNA from 1 species
AAAAGCAUAUUGCCGAAGACAGCAGGUGCCGAAAGGCGUAAUCGCAGAGCCUGCCGAGGGAAUUUAUUGAUGUAAUAUCACAAUGAAUUUUAGACCUCUCUGUCAUUUGGCGGAGAGGUUUUUUG